UACGAAGGGGGCUAGCGUUGCUCGGAAUUACUGGGCGUAAAGCGCACGUAGGCGGCUUUCUAAGUCGGGGGUGAAAUCCUGGAGCUCAACUCCAGAACUGCCUUCGAUACUGGAGAGCUUGAGCCCGGGAGAGGUGAGUGGAACUGCGAGUGUAGAGGUGAAAUUCGUAGAUAUUCGCAAGAACACCAGUGGCGAAGGCGGCUCACUGGCCCGGUACUGACGCUGAGGUGCGAAAGCGUGGGGAGCAAACAGG
rnacentral:rRNA from 1 species